CAGACAAGCUGUUGAAUAAGCUGCCGAAUAAAUUGCGACUUUAUUUUCAAGUUAACCUGGUAUAUAUUCUCUCAGACAAGCUGUUGAAUAAACUGCCGAAUAAGUUGGGACUUUAUUUUCAAGUUAACCUGGUAUAUAUUCUACCAGACAAGCUUUUGAGUAAGCUGCCGAAUAAAUUGCGACUUUAUUUUCAAGU